rnacentral:rRNA from 1 species
UAGGGAANCUUCCACAAUGGACGCAAGUCUGAUGGAGCAACGCCGCGUGAGUGAAGAAGGGUUUCGGCUCGUAAAGCUCUGUUGGUAGUGAAGAAAGAUAGAGGUAGUAACUGGCCUUUAUUUGACGGUAAUUACUUAGAAAGUCACGGCUAACUACGUGCCAGCAGCCGCGGUAAUACGUAGGUGGCAAGCGUUGUCCGGAUUUAUUGGGCGUAAAGCGAGUGCAGGCGGUUCAAUAAGUCUGAUGUGAAAGCCUUCGGCUCAACCGGAGAAUUGCAUCAGAAACUGUUGAACUUGAGUGCAGAAGAGGAGAGUGGAACUCCAUGUGUAGCGGUGGAAUGCGUAGAUAUAUGGAAGAACACCAGUGGCGAAGGCGGCUCUCUGGUCUGCAACUGACGCUGAGGCUCGAAAACAUGGGUAGCGAACAGGAUUAGAUACCCUGGUAGUCCAUGCCGUAAACGAUGAGUGCUAAGUGUUGGGAGGUUUCCGCCUCUCAGUGCUGCAGCUAACGCAUUAAGCACUCCGCCUGGGGAGUACGACCGCAAGGUUG